rnacentral:lncRNA from 1 species
UUUCUUUUAACACAUAAUACUUUUCAAAAAAAGGAAAUUUUGUAUGAUGGCCAAUAAGACAACCCUCUAUCCUAAAAUCAAAUAUUGAUGAUGUUAGCAAUUAUAGGUACAUGUACAGCCUUCAACAUGACAUCUUGGUACGUGCUUCAAAUUCUGAAUGUUUAGUGUUUCAGUGGCCUAGAAUACAGAUUUCACUAUGAUGGCGG